rnacentral:tRNA from 1 species
GACCGCGUAGCUCAGCUGGCAGAGCAUUGGGCUAGUAUUCCAAAGGUCGUAGGUUCGAUUCCCACCGUGGUCA